GGAGGACCCGAGCGUUAUCCGGAUUUAUUGGGUUUAAAGGGUGCGUAGGCGGAUUAGUAAGUUAGAGGUGAAAGCUCGAUGCUCAACAUCGAAAUUGCCUCUGAUACUGUUAGUCUAGAGUAUAGUUGCGGAAGGCGGAAUGUGUGGUGUAGCGGUGAAAUGCUUAGAUAUCACACAGAACACCGAUUGCGAAGGCAGCUUUCCAAGCUAUUACUGACGCUGAUGCACGAAAGCGUGGGGAGCGAA
rnacentral:rRNA from 1 species